rnacentral:sRNA from 1 species
GCGGCAGCUGACAGUUUCAGUAAACCACGGAGACGAACGGAUUACGGUUUGAUAAUAGGCGAACAUGCAAUUACAUAUAUUAAAGUCAUAGCAAUAAUCCAAGCGAACACAAGCGGAAAACAAACAGAAAACAGCCACGCAAAAGCAAACCAAUAACAAUAAUAUUUAAUGCAUAAUAAUAGUAAUAUCUGAUAAUAUUAAUACUAAUAAUAGUCAGGCCGUAACAGCUCUCUGGGAACAAAGCGCAGCGUUCGAAGUAAUCGCCGUCGUCUUGGCUGUUGUUAAGCCACCACUCCAGCAUCCUCCCGCUUAAAAACAAAAACCAAAAACAAAAACAAAACAAAGCCCAAGGAACUCAAAAACCAAAAACAAAAAUAACACCAAGUAAUACUUAUAAAAAACAAAAACAAAAAAUUCAUCUUCUACUUGUUCUUCUGCUUCAACUUUCUUCGUCUUCGUCUCCGUUAUAAAUAUAUAUAUAUACAUAUAUCAUAUACAUACAUACAUAUAUAUCCGUGUGUGUGUGUGUUUGCGACGCGUGUGUACUGGUGCAUGUGAAUGUGUGAGCUACAACAAUCACUAAAACAACAACAACAACAA